rnacentral:rRNA from 1 species
GUAGGUGACAAGCGUUGUCCGGAUUUACUGGGUGUAAAGGGCGCGUAGGCGGACUGUCAAGUCAGUCGUGAAAUACCGGGGCUUAACCCCGGGGCUGCGAUUGAAACUGACAGCCUUGAGUAUCGGAGAGGAAAGCGGAAUACCUAGUGUAGCGGUGAAAUGCGUAGAUAUUAGGAGGAACACCAGUGGCGAAGGCGGCUUUCUGGACGACAACUGACGCUGAGGCGCGAAAGUGUGGGGAGCAAACAGGAUUAGAUACCCUGGUAGUCCACACCGUAAACGAUGGAUACUAGGUGUAGGAGGUAUCGACCCCUUCUGUGCCGCAGUUAACACAAUAAGUAUCCCACCUGGGGAGUACGACCGCAAGGUUG